rnacentral:rRNA from 1 species
UGGCCAGACUCCUACGGGAGGCAGCAGUGGGGAAUAUUGCACAAUGGGGGAAACCCUGAUGCAGCGACGCCGCGUGAGUGAAGAAGUAUUUCGGUAUGUAAAGCUCUAUCAGCAGGGAAGAAGUUGACGGUACCUGAGUAAGAAGCCCCGGCUAACUACGUGCCAGCAGCCGCGGUAAUACGGAGGAUGCGAGCGUUAUCCGGAUUUAUUGGGUUUAAAGGGUGCGUAGGCGGACGCUUAAGUCAGCGGUAAAAUGGGGGGGCUCAACCUCGUCGAGCCGUUGAAACUGGGUGCCUUGAGUGGGCGAGAAGUACGCGGAAUGCGUGGUGUAGCGGUGAAAUGCAUAGAUAUCACGCAGAACUCCGAUUGCGAAGGCAGCGUACCGGCGCCCAACUGACGCUGAAGCACGAAGGCGUGGGUAUCGAACAGGAUUAGAUACCCUGGUAA